CACGUAGGGUGCGAGCGUUGUCCGGAAUUAUGGCGUAAAGAGCUCGUAGGCGGUGUGUCGCGUCGGCCGUGAAAACCUGCAGCUUAACUGUGGGCUUGCGGUCGAUACGGGCAUCACUGGAGUUCGGCAGGGGAGACUGGAAUUCCUGGUGUAGCGGUGAAAUGCGCAGAUAUCAGGAGGAACACCGGUGGCGAAGGCGGGUCUCUGGGCCGUAACUGGACGCUGGAGGAGCGAAAGCAUGGGGAGCGAACAGG
rnacentral:rRNA from 1 species